GCGCGACCGUGAUUCCCCGCUCGCCGCUCCCCACCCCCCAGGGCUCCCUAAAGAGGGCCACGAGCUGCGAAAGGGCGGGAAAGGCGGUUGGAGAAGGAGAGGUAAGCGGUUACUCACUCCAUGGCUGCAGCAAGGAGAGGCGGCGGCGGCCUCGGCUGAAGAAAGACGGUGGGAGCGGAGAGCGCAGGCGUGCCGAGGUGGAUGUCGGUCUUUUCUCUAUUGCAGAAACCCACCUUGUCCCAUCCACAUCAGGACAUCCCAGCUGGAGUUCAACUUUCAUCCCUUCUGUGGCAGUUAGGAGACUGAAUCAAGGUCCAGAGAAGGUGGAGGGAUCCUGGUAUUGAGCGGCCUUUCGUCCUGCAUGGACGGCACCUCUCCCACCUCCAUCCUUUCCCUGGCUGCUGCUGCAUCUACAACGCUCAGCUUCUCCCUGGAACCUGCUCCCACAGCAUGUGACCCAGCCCUGCCCCUGCCCUGAGCCCUGAUUGUAGAGCUGACAUUUGACUCUGGCUGCCUCGAGGGCAGGGGCCAUGGCUUAGCUAACCACUCUGGGCUUCACUUUCCUCAUU
rnacentral:sRNA from 1 species